CACAGGCCUUGCAAAUAAAGGAGCUGAUGGAAGAGGUCUGCCUGAAAGUUCUGGAAGGAGUCUUGAAGAUCAAUGCAGGUCAACCCUGAUAUCUCCCACAGGAGGAACGUGAGGCCCAGAGAUCCUUCUUGAGUUACCCAACGUCCUGCAGCCCGCAAUAGAGAAGCAGACUAGAGGCAACAUUACCGGAAUCUCUCUCUCCCAUCCCCCAUCCCAGACCCAGAUCCUUCUACUGCAGACACCUGCUGUUCUUUUAUUGAUGGCAUGGCUAGUGCUCAGUCAUCUGGUCACCACAACUCUACUGAGCCCCUCCCCUGGGUGCUGGACUGGCUCUAACACUGUGCGAACAGACAGAGGAAGGCUCAUGCUUGUGGAGCCAACGUUCUAAGUUGGGGAAGAGUCAAUGUAUGAAUUUUAAAAACAGUAAAACAAGAUCAUUUCAGAGAACGGAAGACAACAGCAAGCACGGGCCACCUGUGACCACGUGGACCCUAGGACCCAAGAGCAUGGCCCUGGAGCUGCCUGGCCCUACUGGCCUAGACUGGGCCUCGGCCACGCG
rnacentral:lncRNA from 1 species